rnacentral:rRNA from 1 species
UGGGGAAUUUUGGACAAUGGGCGAAAGCCUGAUCCAGCGAUGCCGCGUGUGUGAAGAAGGCCUUCGGGUUGUAAAGCACUUUUGUCCGGAAAGAAAUCCUUGGCUCUAAUACAGUCGGGGGAUGACGGUACCGGAAGAAUAAGCACCGGCUAACUACGUGCCAGCAGCCGCGGUAAUACGUAGGGUGCAAGCGUUAAUCGGAAUUACUGGGCGUAAAGCGUGCGCAGGCGGUUUGCUAAGACCGAUGUGAAAUCCCCGGGCUCAACCUGGGAACUGCAUUGGUGACUGGCAGGCUAGAGUAUGGCAGAGGGGGGUAGAAUUCCACGUGUAGCAGUGAAAUGCGUAGAGAUGUGGAGGAAUACCGAUGGCGAAGGCAGCCCCCUGGGCCAAAUACUGACGCUCAUGCACGAAAGCGUGGGGAGCAAACAGGAUUAGAUACCCUGGUAGUCCACGCCCUAAACGAUGUCAACUAGUUGUUGGGGACUUCAUUUCCUUAGUAACGUAGCUAACGCGUGAAGUUGACCGCCUGGGGAGUACGGUCGCAAGAUUAAAACUCAAAGGAAUUGACGGGGUCAUA